UGCCGGUAUAAAUACCCUGACAUAACCCCCCUUUAGUGCAUUUCAUAGCCAAAAUUAAUUUAGCUUAUGAAUAAGCACUAUGGAAGUUACUAGACAUAUUGUGCAAUCACAUCAUUUCUAACAUACGCCCGUGCGUGGAAUGAACAUUUUUGUAUAUAUUUGUACCUGUAAAAGUUUUGAACUUUACACUUAGUACAAUCAACCAUAAUAUCAUUAUUAUCAU